rnacentral:rRNA from 1 species
CUCGUAGGCGGUUUGUCGCGUCUGCCGUGAAAGUCCGAGGCUCAACUUCGGAUCUGCGGUGGGUACGGGCAGACUAGAGUGAUGUAGGGGAGACUGGAAUUCCUGGUGUAGCGGUGAAAUGCGCAGAUAUCAGGAGGAACACCGAUGGCGAAGGCAGGUCUCUGGGCAUCUACUGACGCUGAGGAGCGAAGGCAUGGGGAGCGAACA